rnacentral:lncRNA from 14 species
GUAACAGCACAGCUCCAGAACAGGCAGAAUAGCUUUGUCUGCCUCUCUGGUUAUGAAUCCAGAUCAUGAAGCUUUAUGGCUGAUUGGACGAUUUGAACCGGCUCAUUCUACCGUUCACUGAGAAGUUGGAUGCUAGGACAACAUGGAAUGUGAAAAAGCAGUUCAAUGCUGAAAGGAAUGCACAAAUUACUGGUACCACUCCAGGACCCGCAGAUGAAUCCUUUCAGAAGCAGACCUGUGAGCUCUGUUGCUGUUUCUGCGCUGGAGUUCAUUGUAUUUGCACGUACACAGGAGCUCAGCUUUUCACUCAAAACAUUUGAGAGCUUUGCAUGCUGCAGAUGA